GGGAGAAGGAGGACCGCUGACAGAGUUCGACUCUGAGGAAAGUAGUGAAAAAACAGAGAUGUUUAGGUUAAUGCUGCAGAAACGAUACGAUACAGGGUGUGUACAAUGAUGUUGCAAGACAGAGAUUGCCUUGAUGUCGAUGAGACGAGCAACCCCACUGGAGCAAGUCCAAACAGUUACAAUAGAGCUGCACGCUCUGUAGCAGGUAGGACGCUUAGUUGAAUGUGGUCGCCGAAAGGUAACAGAAAGGGGCUUACUCCCUUCUCCC
rnacentral:RNase_P_RNA from 1 species